GGCGUGCCAGGGCAGUGGGCAGCGUGCCGGGGCGGUGGGCGAGGGCAGCGUGCCUCCUGCCCACGAGCAUCACCCUGGCAUGAUGUUGCCUGCAGCAGCUGCCGGGUCUGGAGGCAGCACGAGGGGCUUUGUGAGCCAAAAAGCCCCACGCCUGCAGUCAUGCAGCACAUGGACAAAGCAGGCAGCAGACUGAAGAGCUGACGAGAAGAAAAGCCCAUCUUCGACCAGAUUUUGUGUUUGUUUUUGUUGUUGCUUUAACUGAAGUGGCUGGAGCGCGGUAAUUAAAGGCUCAGUGGCUCUAAUUGGAAUAGGUUUAAACUUGAGGUCAAAAUCCCUUCUGGCACUUCCUCUGCCUAAUAACCAUCAACAGAAAUCAAACAAAUCCAACUGGCUCCAGCCACUAAUCUGCAACCAGCAAAGGUCGCGGCGGCGAUAAGGAAGCGCGGCGGCCGCAAACAGCCCUGCGUGGAAACCCCGGCUCCGGCGGGUCCGGCAGCCAAGCGCCGAGGGGCGCAGCGCCCGGCCCUCGCUCCGGGAUGGGAUGGCUCGGCGGCUGCCUGUCGGUGCCGGGGGGUGAGCGAUGGCAGGGCAGUCCCUGGCCCCGUGCGAUGGCUCAGACCCGGCGCUGCCGAGCUGGGGGGUGGAGAGAGGAUGGGGCAUCUUGUGCCCGGAUGGAGAAACUGAGGUUGUGGUGGAGGCUGGAGAAGGGGCAUUUGCAACCAAGCACUAACUGCUGGGUGCCCGGCGGGUGUUGUGCACAGAGCGGGUGAGGGGCUGCACCCCCAGCCCACCCACCACUGCUGCUUCCUGCCACCGCCAAAGGUCACUGCCCUCGCCAGGUCGCCACUUUAACUGCUUUUCUAAUUGCACCCUAAUCUGGACCUUUAAAGAGAUCUGGGAGGAGAAAAAAAAAUAAAAGAAAGACAAGAAAAGAAAAGGGGUUGCAGAUGUGCAACGGUCAAGCGCCGCGGGGCCAUCCGUCCGCGCUGCAGGGCUGCCCGUCCUCGCUGGGAUGCCUCCAGUAACUUUUGCCUGCAGAUUACAUUGUUUUAAUAUUUUCAGGCUCUUUGUUGCUGCUCCCCUCUCUGCCAGCGCACUCACACGCAUUGUACUGGCUUGAUUAAAGGGAUCUGAUGGCGAA